rnacentral:rRNA from 1 species
AACUCGCCUGCAUGAAGUCGGAAUUGCUAGUAAUCGCAGAUCAGCAUGCUGUGGUGAAUACGUUCCCGGGCCUUGUACACACCGCCCGUCACACCAUGGGAGUCGGUAACACCCAAAGUUGGUAGUCUAACCGCAAGGAGGACGCCGCCUAAGGUGGGAUUGAUGACUGGGGGUGAAGUCGUAACAAGGUAAC